AUGGCCCGAGUGGAGAAGCCCUCUGCUUUGAAAGUGAUCCUAGAGGAGAAGGUGCAAGUGAAGGUGCUGGUCGAGCGAGUAGUUCAACUUGUUCGUGAUGGGGUAACCGGUAUGGAUCUGUUGGAGGUUUUCCUCAGGCGACGCAUCCAAUCACUUCAAGCCCAUGACCAUCCGAUGUGGAUGUAUUCGGGCAUCGACGACACCACUCGGAUCCAUCCAGAGGAGGUCGAUGAUGCUACGCUGGAAGGGUGGCUGAAGAGUAUCACUAGCAACAAAGACAACCCCAGGGGAUCCCAGAGGAUUCCUCCACUCAACAACUCAUACGAGACUGACAAGGUAUGA
rnacentral:rRNA from 1 species